rnacentral:rRNA from 1 species
CCCGUAGGGCGCAAGCGUUGUCCGGAAUUAUUGGGCGUAAAGAGCUCGUAGGCGGUCUGUUGCGUCUGCUGUGAAAACUCGGGGCUUAACCCCGAGCCUGCAGUGGAUACGGGCAGACUAGAGGUAGGUAGGGGAGAAUGGAAUUCCCGGUGUAGCGGUGAAAUGCGCAGAUAUCAGGAGGAACACCAAUUGCGAAGGCAGCUCGCUGGGACGUGACUGACGCUGAGACGCGAAAUCGUGGGGAGCAAACAGG